CCUACGGGUGGCAGCAGUGAGGAAUAUUGGUCAAUGGGCGCGAGCCUGAACCAGCCAAGUCGCGUGAGGGAAGACGGCCCUACGGGUUGUAAACCUCUUUUGCCGGGGAGCAACGGGCGCCACGUGUGGCGGCACUGAGAGUACCCGGAGAAAAAGCAGCGGCUAACUCCGUGACAGCAGCCGCGGUAAUACGGAGGAUGCGAGCGUUAUCCGGAUUUAUUGGGUUGAAAGGGUGCGUAGGCGGAGCGUUAAGUCAGUGGUCAGAUUGCUGGGCUCAACCCCUUCCCGCCAUUGAAACUGGCGCUCUUGAGUGGAAGAGAAGUAUGCGGAAUGCGUGGUGUAGCGGUGAAAUGCAUAGAUAUCACGCAGAACCCCGAUUGCGAAGGCAGCAUGCCGGCUUCCUACUGACGCUGAAGCACGAAAGCGUGGGGAUCGAACAGGAUUAGAUACCCUAGUAGUC
rnacentral:rRNA from 1 species